rnacentral:rRNA from 1 species
ACUACGGGAGGCUGCAGUGGGGAAUAUUGGGCAAUGGAGGCAACUCUGACCCAGCAACGCCGCGUGAAUGAUGAAGGUCUUCGGAUUGUAAAGUUCUUUUCUAAGGGAAGAAGAAAGUGACGGUACCUUAGGAAUAAGCCUCGGCUAACUACGUGCCAUCAGCCGCGGUAAUACGUAGGAGGCAAGCGUUAUACGGAAUGACUGGGCGUAAAAGGUGGGUAGGUGGUUUGACAAGUUGGUAGCGUAACUCCGGAGCUCAUCUUCGGAACUACUGCCAACACUGUUGGACUCGAGUGCAGGAGGGGCAACUGGAAUUUCUAGUGUAGCGGUGGAAUGCGUAGAUAUUAGGAAGAACACCGGUGGCGAAGGCGAGUUGCUGGACUGUAACUGACACUGAGGCACGAAAGCGUGGGGAGCAAACAGGAUUAGAUACCCCUGUAGUC